AGAGUUUGAUCCUGGCUCAGAGCGAACGUUAGCGGCGCGCUUAACACAUGCAAGUCGCACGAGAAAGGGCUUCGGCCCCGGUAAAGUGGCGCACGGGUGCGUAACACGUAGGCAAUCUUCCCUUGAGCGGGGGAUAACGUUUCGAAAGAGACGCUAAUACCGCAUAAGACCACGUCCAGUUCGCUGGAUGCGGUCAAAGC
rnacentral:rRNA from 1 species